CCCUUUCAAUUUCUUUGAGUUUCACUCUUGCGAGCGUACUCCCCAGGUGGCUAACUUAUCACUUUCGCUUGGUCUCUGAAGCUUGCGCUCCAAAAACGAGUUAGCAUCGUUUACGGCGUGGACUACCAGGGUAUCUAAUCCUGUUCGCUCCCCACGCUUUCGUCCCUCAGCGUCAGUUAUAUCUUGGUAACCUGCCUUCGCAAUUGGUGUUCUAAGUAAUAUCUAUGCAUUUCACCGCUACACUGCUUAUUCCAGCUACCUCAAAUAUACUCAAGACUUACAGUAUCAAUGGCAGUUCUAUCGUUAAGCGACAGGCUUUCACCACUGACUUAUAAGUCCGCCUACGGACCCUUUAAACCCAAUAAAUCCGGAUAACGCUUGCACCCUCCGUAUUACCGCGGCGGCUGGCACA
rnacentral:rRNA from 1 species